rnacentral:rRNA from 1 species
GACGAACGCUGGCGGCGUGCUUAACACAUGCAAGUCGAACGGAAAGGCCUCUUUCGGGGGGUACUCGAGUGGCGAACGGGUGAGUAACACGUGAGUAACUUGCCCUUGUCUUUGGGAUAACUUCCGGCAACUGGGGCUAAUACCGGCCAGGAGCUCUUGCUGCACGGAUGGGGUUGGAAUGUUUCGGCGGUUGGGGAUGGCUUCGCGGCGUAUCCGCGUGUUGGUAGGUUAUUGGCUUACUAAGGCAUUGAUGGGUCGCCGACGCGUGAGGGUGCACGGCGACACUGGAGGUGACACGCGGUCCUGAGUCCUAGAGGAGGCACCAGUAGGGAAUCUACGGAGAAGGGCGAAAGCCUGACGGAGCGGCGCAGGGUGAGUGAUGAAAGUCUGCGGACCGUAAGACUCUGUUAUUGGUGAAGAACGAAUGUGUAAGUGACUAAGCACGGCUUGACGGUACUUAGUCAGGAAGCCACGGCUAACUACGUG